GUCGUUAUGUCUCUUUGGAUUUCGUUCUUGCUCUGGAUCCUGUUAAGUUCUAGUUUGAAAUUGCUUUGUAAUCUGGAUUAUCCUGUCAUCCAGCACCUCGCCUGCAUCAGGAGGUGAUGAUUUCAGCGGAGCGUUGGAGGGAUGACAGGCAGGUGAGUGGUGUUGGUCAAGUAUGGUGGAGUUCAAACAGCAGACCCAGGGGAGAAGCCAGACGAGACUCAGAGGGAUUUUCAGAAUAUGUUCUUCCAAGAACUCUGAGGACUAGGAGGCAGUGAAACCAUGGACUGGAGACAAGGAUAUCUCCAACGGAGGGCAUAAGGAGGCUAAAACCAGAAGCAUCCACUUCCUCAUAAAAUCACCCGGGGAGCUUUCACAACUCGAUUUUCCAUCCUGUCCGGUUCUUCCUCAGCGGUGCUGUACAUCCUUGUCAACACGCUGAAGAAGAGAAAGUGCUUCUUCAUCACACAAGAGCCAAACAGGAAGCUACAAUUUACCUCAAUAUGUGCAGCUACUUUUAUACUACUAAAAGAAAUUUAAUGUAAAUCACCUUUGCUUCUUCACAUCAUAAAGUAUUUUUUUUUUUUUUUUUUUUGUAUAAUGAGAAGGAUAACAUAAGUCAUCUCUGUCCUGGGACAUGCAGCCAUUGGACAUGGGGUGCAAUUCAAGCUAUGAGAAAAAAAACUAGCCGGUUUGUGGGUUACCAUGGACCGCGUUUGUGCUAAUUUGAUGCUGCUGUUGAUAUUUUUCUUUAUUUAAAAUGCUUUGCGGGGAAUUUUGUUUUAAACUAUUAAAUAAGGAUUCUUUAUUUAUUUAAAGAAAAAAUUAAUUUCCAGUUUUCAGUGCCGCAGGUGUUCACAUACACAUCUUGAAAGAUUUCUGAAAAUAUGAUGAACAAAACACACAGAAUAAAGUAAUGCUUGUGAAAGGAUUUUUUUAAAUCUGCAAAAAUAGUAGA